AUUGAACGCUGGCGGCAGGCCUAACACAUGCAAGUCGAGCGGCAGCGGGAAAGUAGCUUGCUGCUUUUGCCGGCGAGCGGCGGACGGGUGAGUAAUGCCUGGGAAAUUGCCCAGUCGAGGGGGAUAACAGUUGGAAACGACUGCUAAUACCGCAUACGCCCUACGGGGGAAAGAAGGGGACCUUCGGGCCUUGCGCGAUUGGAUAUGCCCAGGUGGGAUUAGCUAGUUGGUGAGGUAAUGGGUCACCAAGGCGACGAUCCCUAGCUGGUCUGAGAGGAUGAUCAGCCACACUGGAACUGAGACACGGUCCAGACUCCUACGGGAGGCAGCAGUGGGGAAUAUUGCACAAUGGGGGAAACCCUGAUGCAGCCAUGCCGCGUGUGUGAAGAAGGCCUUCGGGUUGUAAAGCACUUUCAGCGAGGAGGAAAGGUUGAUGCCUAAUACGUAUCAACUGUGACGUUACUCGCAGAAGAAGCACCGGCUAACUCCGUGCCAGCCGCCGCCGUAAGAC
rnacentral:rRNA from 1 species